UACGGAGGGAGCUAGCGUUGUUCGGAAUUACUGGGCGUAAAGCGCACGUAGGCGGCGAUUCAAGUCAGAGGUGAAAGCCCGGGGCUCAACCCCGGAACUGCCUUUGAAACUAGAUUGCUAGAAUCUUGGAGAGGUCAGUGGAAUUCCGAGUGUAGAGGUGAAAUUCGUAGAUAUUCGGAAGAACACCAGUGGCGAAGGCGACUGACUGGACAAGUAUUGACGCUGAGGUGCGAAAGCGUGGGGAGCAAACAGGG
rnacentral:rRNA from 1 species